AAGAUCUUGAGCCCAAAUCUGCUGAACAAGCCGCACCUCUGGACAGCGAACGAUUGCAAAGAAAGUGAGGCGAUUCAACUGGACUGGUACCAGGUGACGUGGGUGGUUUACGAGACUCUUGACGAGUUACAUCACUGGCAGCUGUUUGGACUGAGAUGUAGCCGCAGAAGACGGGUUAGACGAGGAUGGCAACACGGAAAGUGAUGUCCUCUGGCUGUCGUUGCUUCGAUUUACUUCGGUUCUUCUACUUUGCAAACAACGUGUAUUCCUGGGGGGAUUUUUAAAAAGUGCGACGAAGAAUACAGCUACUGAAAAACAAUCGAUAGACUUGCUUUGUACCGUAAGCAACUGCAAUAGGAAUAAUUAAAGCCAGUCUUAUCCAGA